rnacentral:lncRNA from 1 species
GAAACUGGAUAAAAUUAAUUAUAUUAAAUUAACAAUAAUAAAUGCAGUGACAAAUAGGUUUGUUUUCCUGUAUUAAUUUAGGAAUGACUGCCAGCAAAAAACCUGGGAACCGAGAAUGCAAUCAUCCUUGUAAAAGUAAACAUACAUGUGGACAUGACUGCUGUAAAAUUGGAGUUGCACAGAAGUCAGAAAUUAAAGAGUCAACAAUUUCUUCAUAUUUAUCUGAUUUAAGAAACAGGAAUGCUGUUUCAUCUCUUCCUCCAGUUAAACGUCUGAAGAUACAGAUGAAUAAAUAUCAAAGUGUGGACCUUAAAGAGUUCGGUUUUACUCCAAAACCUUCCCUUCCUAGUAUAUCGAGGUAUAAAUAUAAUGUUAAUAUCUAAGGUAAAAUAUUUAUCAUAAACUCUGUUCCUGCAGGUAACCACUUAUUCAGGGAAAGAUAAUCACUGGCUACCAUCAAGUCACAGUUACCGUUUAGUUCCAUAAUGAAGCAAUAACAUCAUAAUGGUGUCAUUAUCUUUAAUACCCUAAAUUUGUUUAGAACUCUACAGUUAUGAAAUAACACUCAUGAAAUCAUCUCUUCCCUAGGAAACUACCUCUCCUAUGACAUUCCCGUAGGUUCUCUCUUUAUAGGGAAUAUAAACUAAGUGACAAGAGUAUACUUUAAAAAUGGAAAUCAUGUCGGCAUAUAAAGUCUAACCUUUCCAUUUAGAAGCUCAGUCCAUGCUAAUAAUAUCUCAGAUUUAUAAUAUGAAAAUUGCAUAUUUGUGCAUUAUGUUUUCUGACUUAAACAACAACAUGGCCCAUAAAAUGAGGUGUUUUUUUCCCCAUUGUUUAGAUGGAAAAACUGAAGUUCAUAUUCCUAGUUAGCAGGCAGAAGGCCUUAGGUGGUAACUCAGUAUUCUUUUUCUGUAUCCUGAUGCCUACAGGACAAUCAUAUAUGUAAUUUCCCUUCCAGAUAAGGGCAUUCUAUAUGCAGAAAUGACAUUCAAUAUAUUUAACAACUAGUACAGAACAGGAACUGACUCAUCAGGACAGAUGCCAGCAGUACUUCUAGAGAUCGUGGCUUUUGUUAUCUAACUAAGGGCGCGUAAAGAUGACUAAGUAUUGGUCACUUUCAUUAAGCACCUAUUUAUUUGCUACCCAGGCAGGGUCCAGUUUAUCAUAAAAGUAUUAAAUAGAUAAAUCAUUAUUUUUAUUUAUAUGAAUAAAUAGUUUUCAGGCUUAGAUUAAUUUUCAUUUUUUAACAUUUUUAUUGUUUUAUCUUUAUAAAGAUCAGAAUAUUUAAACAUAUCUGAAUUACCUAUAAUGNCACCCCUAGAAAACUAAUACACUAAUCUGUGCUGUUAAAAGUCAAGAUAAAGUUUACUCUUGA